ACAGUCACACAUUAGAUACCCGUGUAGUCCCAGCCCUAAACGAUGCGCGUUAGGUGUAUCGGUGACCACGAGUCACCGAGGUGCCGAAGGGAAACCGUGAAACGUGCCGCCUGGGAAGUACGGUCGCAAGGCUGAAACUUAAAGGAAUUGGCGGGAGCACCACAACGGGUGGAGCCUGCGGUUUAAUUGGACUCAACGCCGGGAAGCUCACCGGAUAAGACAGCGGAAUGAUUGCCGGGCUGAAGACCCUGCAUGACCAGCUG
rnacentral:rRNA from 1 species